UACGUAGGAUGCAAGCGUUGUCCGGAAUUAUUGGGCGUAAAGAGCGCGCAGGCGGUUUUUCAAGUCAGAUGUGAAAUAUCCCGGCUUAACCGGGAGGGGUCAUUUGAAACUGGAAGACUAGAGUACAGCAGAGGAUAGCGGAAUUCCCGGUGUAGUGGUGAAAUGCGUAGAUAUCGGGAGGAACACCAGUGGCGAAGGCGGCUAUCUGGGCUGAAACUGACGCUGAGGCGCGAAGGCUAGGGGAGCAAACAGG
rnacentral:rRNA from 1 species